rnacentral:rRNA from 1 species
UACGUAGGGUGCGAGCGUUAAUCGGAAUUACUGGGCGUAAAGCGUGCGCAGGCGGUUUUGUAAGCCAGAUGUGAAAUCCCCGGGCUUAACCUGGGAAUGGCAUUUGGGACUGCAAGGCUGGAGUGUGGCAGAGGAGACUGGAAUUCCUGGUGUAGCAGUGAAAUGCGUAGAUAUCAGGAGGGAUACCGAUGGCGAAGGCAGGUCUCUGGGCUGACACUGACGCUCAUGCACGAAAGCGUGGGGAGCAAACAGG